rnacentral:rRNA from 1 species
GGGGAGGUAGUGACAAUAAAUACUGAUACAGGGCUCUUUUGGGUCUUGUAAUUGGAAUGAGUACAAUUUAAAUCCCUUAACGAGGAACAAUUGGAGGGCAAGUCUGGUGCCAGCAGCCGCGGUAAUUCCAGCUCCAAUAGCGUAUAUUAAAGUUGUUGUGGUUAAAAAGCUCGUAGUUGAACCUUGGGCCUGGCUGGCCGGUCCGCCUCACCGCGUGUACUGGUCCGGCCGGGCCUUUCCCUCUGUGGAACCUCAUGCCCUUCACUGGGUGUGGCGGGGAAACAGGACUUUUACUUUGAAAAA